ensembl:misc_RNA 7SK 7SK RNA
GGCUGUGGGGGCAAUCUGGCUGCGACAUCUGUCGCCCCAUUGAUUGCCAGGGUUGAUUCGGCUGAUCUGGCUGGCUAGGCGGGUGUCCCCUUCCUCCCUCACUGCUCCAUGUGCGUCCCUCCCGAAGCUGCGUGGUCGGUUGAAGAGGACAACCACUCCCAAUAGAGGAGGACCGUUUCCUCGGUCAAGGGUAUACAAGUAGCUGCACUCCCCCUGCUAGAACCUCCAAACAAGCUACCAAGAAUCUGAUAACAGUGGUUUCCUCUGGGGAGUUGAGUGGUAUGGGUGGUUGGAAGUACUUUUUACUAUAUAUUCUCUGCUUUUAUACUAUGUUGUACUAUUUUAAA